AGAAGUUGUAGGAGAGAGAUAUUGUGAAAACUUAACACAUUGAUCCCAAAUUUCUGCACUCUUGGUCAAAGCAUCCAACUUGUUUAAUUUUGGGAGGAUAACCAGGCACCCUUGGCGGGGUAUGCCAUAGGCUCUUGGUGGGGCAGUCUGUGUACAUAGGACUUAUUUCAACCACACCUGCAAUGUGUUUCCGGCAUGUGUGCUGCGGAGCAAUAGUCCCCUGGUUGGACCACUCAACCCUAGUCACAUGGUAAUGUGUUACUAUCUUGUGGUCUAGUCAAACAAUCCUUCGGUUGGAUUGUUUCCCCUGGUGCAUGAUUUACAUCACGAUAUGUUCAUCCCCUAGUUCGAUAUGGAUGUUAUCCACACGUGCGAUGUGUUGUUGGUGUGUGUGAUGAGAACCGGGCACCCUGGGAUGUGCCAUAAGCCCUUGGUGGGGCAGCAUGCGCGCAUCAGACUUGACGCAGCCACACGUGCGAUGUGUUGCCGAUAUGUGGGCUGUGAGGAAUAGUCCCCCAGUUGGACUGCUUAUCCCUAGUCACUAGGUAAUGUGUUGCUAUCCUGUGAAUAUUUGACAUGAAUUUCAGAUUUGACAAUGGACUUAUGGUGCUUUGCAACAUAGGCCUUCGAUAGGGUAUGGUUG
rnacentral:lncRNA from 1 species